rnacentral:misc_RNA from 1 species
AAGUCGUAACAAGGUUUCCGUAGGUGAACCUGCGGAAGGAUCAUUAACGAGUUUGAAGCGUCCCUCCGGCUGAGCUGGUCGCAAAGGCAAGUGCUCGCCGGACGAGAUGUGCUCUUUCUCUUGCUUUCCCCCCUCUUGUGCACCUCCGCGUGGGUCCUCGAAGGCGUGUUCUUCCUUCGCCGAAAGGCAAGGGAAGGGACGUCGAAGAGGGUUCGCGAAGCUUUUGAUGUACCCCAUCGUAAGGACUUUAGAAUGUCGAUCGUUGUUUUUGAUGCAACCGAAACACAACUUUCAGCAACGGAUCUCUUGGCUCUC